GGACGGCGGGGCCGCGUCCCCGGCACCGAGGGGGUGCAGGAGCGGAGGGAGGGUGGGAGAAGCCCCACUGGGAAGGACCCUCCCUGCUAGCCCCGCUCCCACCUGGGGAGGGGGCCAAAGCCAUUGAGCCGUGGCGCACGCUGGGCGCUUGGUCUGAGGAACUGCGAUGUUCCGUGGCUUCAGUGACGUUUAUGCAUAAACCUGGAACCUGGACCCAUGACUUAAUGGCGAGGUCGGUGUGAGCUGCUCCUCAAGGCCCAGGGCUCUUGGAGCCGGUGCUUGGAAGCAGCUGGUGAAAGGUGGAGGGUUGGAGAAGGGCCGCAGGCUUCCUUCUUCCUGAGCACACAGUCUGCGCCCUCAGCCUGACCUGAGGUGUGCGGGGCAUAACCUGCCGUCUGUUAAUGCAUGGGGAUGCAUGACCUUGAUACUGUUCCUGCAAGGAACACCAAAAACAGACCACUGGCCUAACAAUUCAUCUGCACUGGGAUAUGAACAGCAGCUGCGAGCAGCUAUAGUACAGCUGAUGGCUUUCAGAAAAGGAGCAACUGAUCUCUAAUGUCACGUCAAAUGAUUCAGAGUUCGCACCAAGAGAAACAGAUCCAUUCUAGGCUGCCAGGGCAAGAACUGUGAAUUAGAAACCAACCUCCCAUGGAGAUAUAAAGAGGGAAAUACCAGAAUCAGCAUCAAAAACUAAUGCUUCCAUUUUGUCAAGUAUCAAAGUAAUAGAAAUUCUAGGAGCUUAAAGUGGUUCAAUUAGUCAAAAAAACUGCCGUGGAGACUAGCCCAAAUAAUUAACAAUUCUCCCAAAUAACUUGCUCUGAGUGCUGUUCUUCAGCCAAAAUGCUUCCUAAAAGAGGGGGACGGGCAGGAAGGGAGGGGAGGGGAGGAGAGGAGAGAGUGAGAAAACAUGUCUAUUAUGCAUGUGAUUGCUAGCACACAAGCUUCUUGCUCUAGGAAGGGAACAAAUUAUGAACAAGGGAAUAGGCAAACAGUGGAAAGUAGGUCUGUGACUGAAAAUGCUCACAUCCAGUGAUGUUUUUAACUGAAGCAGAUGACCAGCCUGAUGACAGUAGCUGGUACUAUCUUCCUCUCUUUCAUUGCACCUUGGCACUAGUCUGAAUGCCACUACAGCUGCAUCCUCUCCUGUUAAUAUAAACAAGAGACCAAAGAGUGCAGUGCUGACAUGCUGCCUUGUGCACAGCUAACUUGUGGGUACACCAAGAAAGGGCAACGUCUUGUGCUUUCUCUGAGGGGUGGCUCCUCUCCUAGACAUCCAGAAAUAGAGAGAGAAAAGGUGAAAGCCAGUUAUCAGCUAACAGCUUUCCACUCUCAGACCAGUAAAAGUAAGAGCAGUGAGGGAAGGCUGAACUAAUAAUUUGUGUGUUAGUGCAGCGCAGGUAAGCCUAGACUGGGCUGCUCUGCUUCCCCAUCCUUACUGGAGCUUUCUCAGCGUCAGUACGCUGGAGAUACAUGUGCCAACCUACUUCUAUUGCACGCUCCCCUACUUCUCCCUUUGUUUAAUGGAAACACUGGAAAAAAGUUUGCCAGAGACCCUCAAGGCUCCAGGAACCCUUUCAGAAACAAGGCCUAGACUCUGCUUGAAAAGCCAGGCAGUACACAGCAGACGUGGUGCCUGGGGGAGCAGGAUACCACUCCUGCUCGGUGACAGUCCCUUGGCUGGGAGACACAAGGGCAAGCAGCACAAGAGUGGGCUGAACCAGCCUCUUAAUAGAAAAGCCCACAGAAGACCACGCACAAACAUGCUGCCCCUGCAUGGCCCACAGAGCAACAUGGGCAGAAGGGUGUUAAGAACAAAAGGUGCUGUGAAAGGCUGGGGACAGACACAUUUCUGAUGUCCCAGAAGAAGGGAUGGUGAGGUGAGAUAGCAGCUUGGACCAAGUGAAGAGAGAGGAGUUAAUCUGGAGCACGACAAGGAAGAUCAUGCGGUUAAACAUUGUGCUGUUCUGAAAAUCUCCAGAGAAAGUGAAGUUCCUGUGCCUCUUGGGCUAUGGAAAAGUGCCCAAGAGAGGCCAUGUAUCACAGAACAUUUGAAGUAGGACAGCAGAAAAUCGAAAAGAAUCCUGCUUUGAGUCUAGGACAGGACAGAUAAAGGCAGAGACUCAACACCACUCUCCCACUAGACAAGCAGGCUCAAACAUAAGACAUAACUCAGCACCAACAUCAAUUUAAUUCUUCCCUCUUCAGGACAGGAACAGGGCAGAUAGUCCUGGAGUUACAUCAG